UCUCCUUAGGUGAACAUGCGGAGGGAUCAUUACUGAGUGAGGGCCUUCGGGCUCGACCUCCAACCCUUUGUGAACACAACUUGUUGCUUCGGGGGCGACCCUGCCGUUUCGACGGCGAGCGCCCCCGGAGGCCUUCAAACACUGCAUCUUUGCGUCGGAGUAUCAAUCAAAUUGAACAAAACUUUCAACAACGGAUCUCUUGGUUCUGGCAUCGAUGAAGAACGCAGC
rnacentral:misc_RNA from 1 species